GACCAAAGGGGGCGAGCGUAAGCAGCUCUCACCGAAGGAGGAGCCUGCGUCCGAUUAGCUAGUUGGUGGGGUAAUGGCCUACCAAGGCGACGAUCGGUAGCCGGCCUGAGAGGGCGAUCGGCCACACUGGAACUGAGACACGGUCCAGACUCCUACGGGAGGCAGCAGUGGGGAAUAUUGCGCAAUGGGCGAAAGCCUGACGCAGCGACGCCGCGUGGGUGAUGAAGGCCUUCGGGUCGUAAAGCCCUGUCUGGUGGAACGAAACGCCUGGCGGCCAAUACCCGCUGGGUUUGACGGUACCACCGAAGGAAGCCCCGGCUAACUACGUGCCAGCAGCCGCGGUAAGACGUAGGGGGCGAGCGUUGUUCGGAUUUACUGGGCGUAAAGCGCGCGUAGGCGGCCAGAUAAGUCGGGUGUGAAAGCCCUCGGCUCAACCGAGGUUCCGCAUCCGAUACUGCUUGGCUGGAGUCUAGGAGAGGAGAGCGGAAUUCCCAGUGUAGCGGUGAAAUGCGUAGAUAUUGGGAGGAACACCCGUGGCGAAGGCGGCUCUCUGGACUAGUACUGACGCUGAGGCGCGAAAGCUAGGGGAGCGAACGGGAUUAGAUACCCCGGUAGUCCUAGCCGUAAACGAUGGGCACUAGGUGUGGGAGGUAUUGACCCCUUCCGCGCCGAAGCUAACGCAUUAAGUGCCCCGCCUGGGGAGUACGGCCGCAAGGCUAAAACUCAAAGGAAUUGACGGGGGCCCGCACAAGCGGUGGAGCAUGUGGUUCAAUUCGACGCAACGCGAAGAACCUUACCAGGGCUUGACAUCCCACGAACCUGCCUGAAAGGGCG
rnacentral:rRNA from 1 species